GAUGGUGUACGGCCGUGUAGGGCUGCCUAUAAUGCAGAGACAAUGUGGGCUUCCCCCAUUCCUUCCAAGGAUGUUUUCCCCUUAACACCAAGUCAUCUGGGAGGUCCACGGCCCCAAAGAUUACUCACCCUUCGGUGCAGUCACACUUCUGCUCUUUCCACUCAGGGCAAAUCACUUCCCUUCUCUGUGUCUCAUGUGCUCAUGUCUAAGAUGGCGGCCCCAAUUCCCGCCUUGCCCAGGGUGGGAAGACCCGCGUGUAUGAAGUUGCUUGUUGCAUGGCACUCUGUGCUGGGUUUUGGAAGGACAUCUGUGCCCUCCCUGGUGUCACACAGGGCUGCCUCUGUGUGGACACCCACAUCCCUGUGCUCACAAGCUCCAUCAUUUUACCUGACCCAGAGGGGAUGGUAACUAGACCGAAGGAUAAGUGGGCAAGCUUUUGGCAUCUGAACAGCAAUACCAUUGAUUAUAUCUCCUUAUAUUACACACAGAUCCCAGCACAGUGCCAUAUAGACAUGGAAGAUGUUGCAUAAAUAUAACUGGAUUUGAGUAAGAAUCUCUCUUUCUUGUUGCCUUGCUUGAAAGAAGUAAACAGAGGGGAGGUGAGAAAACAUAUAGGGGGGGCAGGAGAGCCCUGUGCGAUAAGGCAAACUCCAAGUUCUUGUAGAAAGCACAUUUUUGAAAACAGUCAAGGAGAUUCAAGGUUUCCAAGUCAGUGGAUUUAUCUACUGGUGUCUCCACAUCCAUUCUUCUAGGAUUUUCUCGGUCCUUUGCUGGGCAUGCAACAUGCAGCACCUUUUCCAUUUCGAACAUCUGACCAUCUAAAAUGUGCUUCAUCGGUGGUCUCAGUGGAUACGUUAGAAGCUGCUCUUUGUGAAGGAAGGUUUGACACCACUGAGAGGUUCCUCCCUUUUCAUGAUGAUUCUUCACUUAACCUUAUAACUGAUUUCCAAUAUGGUUUGUUAGCUCCCUGGGGAUAUGGAAGAGAUGAUUUCUUAAGACUAUUCUGAUGGAACCCUAAAAAGUGAAAUGCAACAUUCUCAGAAACCAACAACAUAAGACCAAUCCUCUGGUUUUGGUAGGUUGGUGGGGGGCUGGUACCCCACAGGAGAAUGACUUCUCCUGCGGAUGUCAGCAUGACAUGGGGUUAGAGCCCACCUCGAGACCACCUUGCCAAGAAUCAUUUCAUGGGGAGUUGGCAUAAUAGUAACAUUUAUGAGUCUUAACCAUGUGCCAGGGAUUGUACUCAGUGCUUUGUUCUGGAGCAACUACGGAGGAUGAAAUCUCAACUCAGCUGUGUGUUGGCUGUGUGACCUUGGACGUGCUAUGUGGCUUCUCUGAGCUUCAAUGUCCGUGCCUAUAAAUGAGAUCAUAAUACCUCUUUGAGUUUUUUAAGGAUUCUUUGAGAUGUUGAACUCAAAGUUCCGGGUCAACAUUCCACACCUAAUGUUGCCAUUUUGUUUUUGUUAUUCGGACAUUUCAUACAAAAUUCAGGGCAGCCAUGAAUUUCAUGGCAGACAGAAUGUUCUGCUGGCCCUGGGUUUCAGUGUCAUUCUGAAUUUUUUUUUUCCUCCCAAGGAGAUAGAGAAAUAAAUACUUGAAUCUGAAAGUAAGUGGAUUUUGGAGUUGGAAAUUAAAUGCGUCUGAUUUAUAAAAGUGCGAUAACUUUGGCCACAAAUCCAGUAACGAUGAUUUCCAGGUAGAUAAAGACAAAGCCCAUAGAUCUAGGCAUUUUUGGAAAGAAGCUGUUUUUAUGUAUAUUAGAUGGAAGACACUUUUACUCUAUAAAAUUUGAAAGCCUUGAGAUAUUGUCCCAGCCCACAAGGGAGUAGGUAGUUUAAUCACAGAAUUGUAAGGCUUUAUAACACUUGUAGAAGGUCUUAAUUAGACUCCGAGCAAUGGUUUCUUCCCUCUAUAAAGUACACAUAUAGGCUAUAUAAGUUGAUGGUGGUAAAUUAAAAUGUAUUUUUCUCUCUUCUCUCUCUAAACAGGGCCACAUAAACAUUGCCCGGCUGGAUUUUGCAUAUCUGACUGUCCCUUCUCAAAUCUUUUUGAGUCACACAGCUUCCUUGUACUGGGUCUGGGGUAGGAGUUGAACAGCAUAAUCAAAUCUUUGUUCUCUGACCAUUACUAGGUGCCUGAGGGUUAUGGCUCAGGCCAGCCAAGAGGUUUCUAGACCCCCAAGACUGCCACUUCUAUAUAACUUGAAAAGCGGCCAUGAAAGAGCUCAUGUAGCUCUCUCUCCAUAUGUCUGAUGCAAGUUUGUGCUUGAUGCUCACCUUUUUGUUCCAUAAAUGCGUUCAGACUGAGGGGGAAAUGUCACCUGAGUGUAUAAAUAGGUGUAUCUCUGCCAGCAUCUGAUGGAAGGCCAAUCCCUUCAGAAUCUUUACUCUAUGAUCCUGGAAAGGAAAGAGCCAGAGGGACUUAAGAGGCCAUGCAGACCUGCUCCUCUCUCCCUUGCCCCAAGAUAUAGGUUAGGAUGCUGAGGCCCAACGAGGGAAAGCAUUUUCCCAAAGUUAGAGGUUGAGCCCCUGGUUGAGCUGUCUUGUGGACCUAGGUCUUUUUGAACUAAAACCAGUUUGUACUUACAGCAGAAACUACUAACUGUUUCCCAAUUUCCAUCCUCCACUUCCCUCUUAAUAACAGAAACUCCAAUUUGUGAUUAGGCAUAGAGCUGUCUGGAAAAAAAGACUUCAUUUCCAGUCUUCUUUGCAGUAGAGGUGGCCAUGAGACAAAGUUCUGGCCAAUGACAUAUAAGUGGUAGUGUCCUGUGUGACUUCUGGAAACAUUCUUUUGUCCUUCCUCCAUCCUGCUGGCUGGAAUGUGGAGGUAAUAGCUGGAGCUUGAGCAGCUGUCAUGGAUUAUGAGGUGGAAGCCCUGCUGAGGAUGGUGGAGCAUCCAGCAGGCUAGCCCACACUUGUGGAAGAGACCACAAAUAAUGAGUGGAAACAUGCCGGUAAUUUUUCUUGCCUCAGCUUGGGACAUGUCUGCUAACAUCCCAUUGGCCAAAACAAGUCUCAGAGUAGGAGCCAAAGACAGAGUGGGACAGUGCUUCACUGUUACACGGCAAAGGGAGGAACAGAGGGAGAUUGACAAGCAGACUCCGCACC